rnacentral:tRNA from 1 species
CAAGUUGUUAGUAGUUAAUUUGAACUUAAUGAAAUGAAGAAAUUCACCUCUUGU